rnacentral:rRNA from 1 species
GAUGAACGCUGACGGCGUGCCUAAUACAUGCAAGUCGAGCGAACAGAUGAGGAGCUUGCUCCUCUGACGUUAGCGGCGGACGGGUGAGUAACACGUGGAUAACCUACCUAUAAGACUGGGAUAACUUCGGGAAACCGGAGCUAAUACCGGAUAAUAUAUUGAACCGCAUGGUUCAAUAGUGAAAGACGGUUUUGCUGUCACUUAUAGAUGGAUCCGCGCCGCAUUAGCUAGUUGGUAAGGUAACGGCUUACCAAGGCAACGAUGCGUAGCCGACCUGAGAGGGUGAUCGGCCACACUGGAACUGAGACACGGUCCAGACUCCUACGGGAGGCAGCAGUAGGGAAUCUUCCGCAAAGGGCGAAAGCCUGACGGAGCAACGCCGCGUGAGUGAUGAAGGUCUUCGGAUCGUAAAACUCUGUUAUUGGGGAAGAACAAAUGUGUAAGUAACUAUGCACGUCUUGACGGUACCUAAUCAGAAAGCCACGGCUAACUACGUG